GGCGGGACGGCCCGCCACGCGAUGACCUCGCGUUCCAUAGCCGACGGCGGC
rnacentral:sRNA from 1 species